rnacentral:rRNA from 1 species
GACAUAGGUGGCGAACGUUAUCCGGAAUUAUUGGGCGUAAAGGGUGCGUAGGUGGUUUAAUAAGUUACUGGUGGGAAAUCGGGGCCCAACCCCGUGGAAGUCGGUAAUACUAUUAAACUAGAGGUCUGGAGGGGUUAACGGAACUCCAUGUGUAGGGGUAAAAUCCUUAAAUAUAUGGAUGAACACCAAACGGCGAAGGCAGUUAACUAUUCAGCACCUGACGUUGAGGCACGAAAGCGUGGGGAGCAAGACGG